AUAGCUCAAAUUUGAAAUCUGGCGAAAGCCCGAGUUGUAAUUUGUAGAGGAUGCUUUUGGCAGAGCCGCGGGUUCAAGUGCCCUGGAAUGGGUUGCCAUCAUAGAGGGUGAGAGUCCCGUAUGUCGGCUCGCGGUAGACGCCAGUCAAAGCUCCUUCGACGAGUCGAGUUGUUUGGGAGUGCAGCUCUAAUUGGGAGGUAAAUUCCUUCUAAAGCUAAAUAUGGGCCAGAGACCGAUAGCGAACAAGUAGAGUGAUCGAAAGAUGAAAAGUACAGUGAAAACUGGGUGAAAUAGUACGUGAAAUUGUUGAAAGGGAAGCGCUUGCAAUCAGACAUUGCAGCAACGGGCUGAACCUUGUGUUCAUAAGUUGCUUGUGGGCUAGCAUCAGUUUGGGUGGUGGUAGAAAGGCGAGGGGAAUGUGGCCCGUGGAUGGGCUUGCGCCUAGAUCGGGUGUUUAUAGCCCCUCGUGCCAUGCCACCUACCUAGACUGAGGGUUCGCGCGGGGUCUCCCCGCAAGGAUGCUGGCGUAAUGGUUGUAAGCGGCCCGUCUUGAAACACGGACCAAGGAGUCUAACAUCUGCGCGAGUGUUUAGGUGUCAAGCCUAUGCGCGUAAUGAAAGUAAACGUAGGUGGGAAACCAUCGGUCCUCGCGGACUGAGGUGGCACCAUCGACCGAUCCGGAUGUUUUCGGAUGGAUUUGAGUAAGAGCGCAGCUGUUGGGACCCGAAAGAUGGUGAACUAUGCCUGUGUAG
rnacentral:rRNA from 1 species